rnacentral:rRNA from 1 species
GACGGACGCUGGCGGCGUGCUUAACACAUGCAAGUCGAACGGUGAGGCGCCUUCCUUUUUGGUGGGUGUGUAGGAGUGGCGAACGGGUUAGCAACACGAUAGUAACCUUCCCCCUUCUGCUGGAUAACCGCAUGAAAGUGUGGCUAAUACGUGAUAUUCUGGGUCUGUCGCAUGAUUGGUCUGAGAAAGAUAUUGUUUCAGUGGUGGAUGGGCUCGCGGCGUAUCAGCUUGUUGGUGGGGUGAUGGCCUACCAAGGCGAUGAGGGGUAGCCGGCCUGAGAGGGUGGACGGUCCCAGAGGGGAUGCGCCACGGACAAGACUACUACAGGAGGCAGCAGUGGGGCAUAUGGAACAGUGGGAGCAAGGCUGAUGCAGCGACGCGGCGUGGGGGAUGGAGGCCUGCGGGUUGUGAACUUCUUUCGGCAGUGAAGAAGGGUUGAAUCGUUUGUGGGUGGGUUGACGGUAGCUGGUUAAGAAGCGACGGCUAACUACGUG